GUAGGAAUAUUGCACAAUGCCCCAAUCUUGGGGUGAUGCAGCGACGCCGUGUGCGGGAAGAAGUAUUUCGGUAUGUAAACCGACGUUAAAAAGGAGCGGCUAACUUCGUGCCAGCAGCAGCGGUAAUACGGGGGCUCCAAGCGUUGUCCGGUAUCAUUGGGCGUAAAGAGUUAUGUAGGCGGAUUUGUAAGUUACUGGUUAAAUCUCCCGGCUCAACCGGGAAUCUGCUUUUAAUACUGCAAGUCUAGAGAGAAUCAGGGGAAGAUAGAACGCAUGGUGUAGUAGUAAAAUGCUUUGAUAUCAUGCGGAAUACUAAAGGCGUAGGCAGUCUUCUGGGAUUUUUCUGACGCUGAGAUACGAAAGCGUGGGGAGCAAAACGGAUUAGAAACCCGGGUAGUCC
rnacentral:rRNA from 1 species